UACAGAGGGGGCAAGCGUUGUUCGGAAUUACUGGGCGUAAAGGGCGCGUAGGCGGCCUUUUAGGUCGAACGUGAAAUCCCUGGGCUCAACCCAGGAACUGCGUCCGAUACUGGAAGGCUUGAAUCCGGGAGAGGGAUGCGGAAUUCCAGGUGUAGCGGUGAAAUGCGUAGAUAUCUGGAGGAACACCGGUGGCGAAGGCGGCAUCCUGGACCGGUAUUGACGCUGAGGCGCGAAAGCCAGGGGAGCAAACGGG
rnacentral:rRNA from 1 species